UACGGAGGAUUCGAGCGUUAUCCGGAUUUAUUGGGUUUAAAGGGUCCGUAGGCGGGCAAUUAAGUCAGUGGUGAAAUCCCAGAGCUCAACUCUGGAACUGCCAUUGAUACUGGUUGUCUUGAAUUUAGUUGAGGUGGGCGGAAUACGUUAUGUAGCGGUGAAAUGCAUAGAUAUAACGUAGAACACCGAUUGCGAAGGCAGCUCACUAAACUAAUAUUGACGCUGAUGGACGAAAGCGUGGGGAGCGAACAGG
rnacentral:rRNA from 1 species